rnacentral:rRNA from 1 species
UACGUAGGGGCAAGCGUUGUCCGGAAUUAUUGGGCGUAAAGAGCGCGUAGGCGGUCUGAUAAGUCGGUUGUGAAAGUCGGGGGCUCAACCCUCGGAUGCCGAUCGAUACUGUCAGGCUAGAGUCCGGAAGAGGCGAGUGGAAUUCCUGGUGUAGCGGUGAAAUGCGCAGAUAUCAGGAGGAACACCAAUGGCGAAGGCAGCUCGCUGGGACGGUACUGACGCUGAGGCGACGAAAGCGUGGGGAGCAAACAGG